ACUUACUCUCUUUCAUCAUCUUCUCCCCCACCACUCAUGAAAGAACGAGGAGAACACCAAUUUCCAUCGCAUGACCAUGGCAGUCAACUUCUAACUACAAUUGCUUUCAAAUUUUGGCCACCCACCAGGAAAUACAUAGACCAAAUCGAAACCCAUAGCCACCAUUAACUUACUAUGAAAUGGCCUAGAGUCGUGGGAAAACCAUGAAAAUUGGUGAGGCUUACAUUUAUCGAUCGCCAUUUUUCGGUGAGUUCCAGGUCAAAUGGGUGGUCAUUUCCCGUAAAUUUGGACCCCUUAAGUCUAUUUCCAACCAUGGAGGCUCAAAUCUUACUCGUUUGUGAGAUACAAUAAAAUUUCUUUACGACAACAAUCUCCAACAGGAUUUUGACCAUCUCCCGUAAUAGUUGGGUAAAUUGAAGAUUAGUAUGGAGGUUAUAUUUAGUUGUCCUUUGUGAGCUAUGGUGAGAGUUGUUAGGCAUGUAUUUUGUGGUGAUAGCAUCAGUCACCUUCCCUACAGUUGAAGGAGAACAGGUUUAGCCAUUCCUAUGGGAGCGAAGAGUGAGAAUGUUGGUAGGUAUUUUGCACAUUGAGCAUUAACCAUCCUCCUUUGCCGUAUAAUGGCAGAUUAUUUAGCAUCGAAAUCAUUGGGACGCUAAUGGAACCACAUGCACUCCCUUAUCUAUCAAAUAGUGUUUUAGAAGCCAAGCAUCACAUCGCAGUGCUGAUAUAUCAUAUGGUGUAUCGCAUAUCUUUUUGAUGAAUAUAUAUAUGUAUUACAUUAUGCUAUAGUGUAUUACACCGUACUGGGGCCACGACUCAACUCAACUCAUGAAUGGUUUAGUAUUGUAUUUCUAUUGCCUAUGAGACUAAAGAGUUGGAAGGUUAUUAAAGACAACCACCCUUUGUAGUAUUGGAAGUAGUAUACCUGCAGAUAGGUAAUAUCGUAGGACCAUGUAUUAGUGUACUAUAUAAUAUAUCGGGUGUGCCUCCACUACAAGUGUGGAUUAUGUAAUGUAUUUAUCAAUUUUAGUUAUGUUUUACCUAUUUAUGAUUAUUAUUAUUAUUAUUAUUGUUAUUGUUA